UGGCAAUGAUGAUAAAUUUAAGGCUUGUUCUCAAACAUUCACAGUUGCCGCCUAAGAGCUUUCGCCCAGCCAUGCUCGAGAGCUAAUGCUGAUGUCUGAGUUA
rnacentral:snoRNA from 1 species